AUGAGGACGAGGGCUGCUGAUGCCCCAUGGCGGGCGGGGCACCUAGACGAGGAGGAGGCUGCGGCCUCGGUGACGAAGCCUUGCUGGUGGUCGGCCGAUGACAGAGGCACCGGCUCGCCGGUGAUGAGGAAGAAGCAGGGCGGCGGAGCGGAGCCAAGCAGUAACUUGGACGGCAAGGCCAGGAGAAGCAGAGGACGGGGAGGCGAGGAGAAGCAGAGGACGGGGAGGACGGCGAGGCUUUGGGCGGAGGCGGAGUUAAUUGGCUUCAAAGAAGGAGAGCCCUGGCCGGACUAUGGCCAACAGGAUUGGGAUGUGGAAGACGAAGAAAUUCGAUGCCCACCCACCACCCACUUCGUAGCCACUAUCGAUGAUUUAACCGACAUGCUUGACUUCGACUAUGAAGACAUCGACAGACCUUAA
rnacentral:rRNA from 1 species